GGCUUCCACGCGGUGCGGUUGUGUGCCGUUAUGCCGCCCUAGGCCGUACGAACCUCCGACCAUGUUUCCCACCCGUGAGUGGAGCAUUGAUAACUAAACGCAACUAUUUACGAGCUGGCUGUAA